UUUUCAGGUUCACCAAGACCAGGAAGUGACAUUGACCUGAACAUGAAGUCUACUAAACCCGCGCGACUUCGGGGCAUGAAGACAAGCCCAUAUAAUAUCUCCAAGGAAAAUUGUAACAACAACGGACAAACACAAACACUGUUUCAUGAUGAUAGCAAACAUUACUACAGCCAGGAAGAUCACUGAUGAACUGAUUUUUAAUUUCUGAUUAAUAACCUGUAUCAAAAGUUGUCUAUUAAACGUAAUUUUGAAACUUGAAA